UGAUGAAAAGCCACUGCUGCGCCGCGCGCCAAUUGCGGGUGCGCGUAUUUGAUCGUAUAGUUACAGGGUUGACGUAACACAGUGUGCUUUGCGGCUACCACCCGCAACAGUAGCUGAAAAAACCUCGCCUCCGGCGGGGUUUUUU
rfam:Cronobacter sakazakii ATCC BAA-894, complete genome.